UACGUAGGGGGCGAGCGUUGUCCGGAUUUACUGGGCGUAAAGAGCGCGCAGGCGGUCGUUCAAGUCGAGUGUGAAAGCCCCCGGCUCAACUGGGGAGGGUCACUCGAUACUGAUCGACUUGAAGGCAGGAGAGGGAAGCGGAAUUCCCGGUGUAGUGGUGAAAUGCGUAGAUAUCGGGAGGAACACCAGUGGCGAAGGCGACUACCUGGCCCAUUCUUGACGCUGAGGCGCGAAAGCUAGGGGAGCGAACGGG
rnacentral:rRNA from 1 species